rnacentral:lncRNA from 1 species
UAAUUUUUAAGAAUUACUUUUAAACUUCUAAAAAAUUUAAAACUACAAACCAGUCUAAAAGUGAAUUUAGAUAUGGAAGAAAUUGACAAUGGGCCUAGAAUUAAUGCAAUGACACAAGAAAGCAGAACUGUGUAUGGUAGAUAGGUAAAGCAGACAUACGCAGCUGGAGAGAUAAACAUUUUUAGGUGAACGUGAUGCGUAACUCAGGGGAUUAGUUACCUUAUAUAAUUAUUUAAAGUAUAUAAUUUUUCUACAGUGAACAUUCAACUGCUAUAAAAAUGUAAAAUAAUAAAGUCUUGUUAUUUCUAUAAUGAUUAAAUUUUUAUUAAAUAAUUAUAAAAAAUUAUGUAUCUUAUGUAAUUAUAUAAAGUAACCAAAUUCCAAUAAAAAAAAAAUUCAAAAAUUUUGCAACCAUUCAGCCGAAGCAGUAGAUGUGGAGUGGGGUUCGGCUAACUUACAUUUUCUGCAUGUAACGGUCUAUGACAUGACCACUCACUCUUUAAAACAAUGACACAUGCUAAGAAAACCAAAAAGCAAAAAAAGAAUGCAUGACUGAGGCAUCCAAUAUAGCGCAAUAAGUGAAAAGAAUAAUGCUAAACUCACAAACUGUUACAAAUCUACGUUCUACCCGAUACAUAAACUGAAUAAUGGCGGUUGUUAAGUCCAACAGUUGUUACCAUUAACAUAAAAGCAUAAUUAACAAAAAUUAUCGUGUUACUGAUAGCAAUUAUUGAAUUGACAUAAUUAUAUAAUUUAAUAAAGUCCCCGACUAAUAUUAAAUUUCAUUAAUCCAUAUUUUGGAUUAGAUUAUAAAAUUUAUAAUUAAUAAAAUUAUGGAUUGAAUGUAGAUUUGUGUCCGAUUUAUGUAAAUAACCCUACAAGAUCACACAUGACACCACACAAAAUUUAAGAAAAUUUAAGCUUGUGUUAAAAUAUUAAAAUUUUGUCAUUUUAUAAUUAGUAUGCAAA